AGGGUACACAGGGGCCUCUUCCAAGUAUUCUCAGGUCCGUACCCAGACACGGGUAGUGGCCUCACCCCACACACUGGUCCCUGGCCUUAGUCACUGCACCAUGCCUGGUGCAUCCUAAACCAGAGGGCCAGCGUGUAACAGGUGAUGGCUGCGGCCAGAGAGGACACAGGUCAGGGUCCUGACCCCUUAACCCAGAGGGUCUUGCUGAAGCCACCUUUUCAUAUCUUUCUCUUGAAUUCUGUUUUAAAUCGGAAUAAAUUUUGUUCCUAAA
rnacentral:lncRNA from 1 species